GAACGCUGGCGGCGUGCUUAACACAUGCAAGUCGAACGAUGAAGCCUAGCUUGCUGGGUGGAUUAGUGGCGAACGGGUGAGUAACACGUGAGCAACCUGCCCCUCACUCUGGGAUAAGCGCUGGAAACGGCGUCUAAUACUGGAUACGAAACGCAACCGCAUGGUUAGUGUUUGGAAAGAUUUUUUGGUGGGGGAUGGGCUCGCGGCCUAUCAGCUUGUUGGUGAGGUAAUGGCUCACCAAGGCGUCGACGGGUAGCCGGCCUGAGAGGGUGACCGGCCACACUGGGACUGAGACACGGCCCAGACUCCUACGGGAGGCAGCAGUGGGGAAUAUUGCACAAUGGGCGGAAGCCUGAUGCAGCAACGCCGCGUGAGGGAUGACGGCCUUCGGGUUGUAAACCUCUUUUAGCAAGGAAGAAGCGAAAGUGACGGUACUUGCAGAAAAAGCGCCGGCUAACUACGUGCCAGCAGCCGCGGUAAUACGUAGGGCGCAAGCGUUAUCCGGAAUUAUUGGGCGUAAAGAGCUCGUAGGCGGUUUGUCGCGUCUGCUGUGAAAACCGGAGGCUCAACCUCCGGCCUGCAGUGGGUACGGGCAGACUAGAGUGCGGUAGGGGAGAUUGGAAUUCCUGGUGUAGCGGUGGAAUGCGCAGAUAUCAGGAGGAACACCGAUGGCGAAGGCAGAUCUCUGGGCCGUAACUGACGCUGAGGAGCGAAAGGGUGGGGAGCAAACAGGCUUAGAUACCCUGGUAGUCCACCCCGUAAACGUUGGGAACUAGUUGUGGGGGCCAUUCCACGGUCUCCGUGACGCAGCUAACGCAUUAAGUUCCCCGCCUGGGGAGUACGGCCGCAAGGCUA
rnacentral:rRNA from 1 species